rnacentral:rRNA from 1 species
AUGCGAAAACCCUCUAUAUCUACAUCAUUAUUCUAUCUAUGUAAAAUAAAUACAACAAUGAUCACCAUGUACAAUAUGGCCAUACAACAAUCUGCACCUCUUUCUUCUACCAUAUUCUAUCUAUCUCGGUCAACAAUACCAAAAAAAAUACAUACAACAAAAUCUGUAAGCAAGGUCAAUUUUAUCUACACAACAAUCUGUAAGCAAGGUCAUAUUUAUCUAUCUUCUAUUCCUGCAAGUAUGCAGUUAUGCACAUACUUUUCUUCAUACAAUAGCAGAAGGUCGCAUUAUAUUCAUACAACAAUGGCAACACAGAGCAACCUCCUCUUUACUGUUUGA